AGCGAACGCUGGCGGCAGGCCUAACACAUGCAAGUCGAACGAACCUUUCGGGGUUAGUGGCGGACGGGUGAGUAACACGUGGGAACGUGCCUUUAGGUUCGGAAUAACUCAGGGAAACUUGUGCUAAUACCGAAUGUGCCCUUCGGGGGAAAGAUUUAUCGCCUUUAGAGCGGCCCGCGUCUGAUUAGCUAGUUGGUUGAGGUAAUGGCUCACCAAGGCGACGAUCAGUAGCUGGUCUGAGAGGAUGAUCAGCCACAUUGGGACUGAGACACGGCCCAAACUCCUAGGGGAGGCAGCAGUGGGGAAUCUUGCGCAAUGGGCGAAAGCCUGACGCAGCCAUGCCGCGUGAAUGAUGAAGGUCUUAGGAUUGUAAAAUUCUUUCACCGGGGACGAUAAUGACGGUACCCGGAGAAGAAGCCCCGGCUAACUUCGUG
rnacentral:rRNA from 1 species